ACUCAAAGGAAUAGACGGGGGCCCGCACAAGCAGUGGAGUAUGUGGUUUAAUUCGACGCAACGCGAAGAACCUUACCGGGGUUUGACAUCCCUCUAACGAGGCAGAGAUGCGUUAGGUGCCCUUCGGGGAAAGAGGAGACAGGUGGUGCAUGGUUGUCGUCAGCUCGUGUCGUGAGAUGUUGGGUUAAGUCCCGCAACGAGCGCAACCCUCACGGUUAGUUGCUACGCAAGAGCACUCUAGCCGGACUGCCGUUGACAAAACGGAGGAAGGCGGGGAUGAUGUCAAAUCAUCAUGCCCCUUACAUCCCGGGCUACACACGUACUACAAUGGCGGACAUACAACGGGUAGCGACAUAGCGAUAUGAAGCCAAUCCCUAAAAAGCCGCCUCAGUUCGGAUCGCAGGCUGCAACCCGCCUGCGUGAAGUCGGAAUUGCUAGUAAUCGCGGAUCAGCAUGCCGCGGUGAAUACGUUCCCGGGCCUUGUACACACCGCCCGU
rnacentral:rRNA from 1 species